AUAUAUUGGAAAUAGCCCAGCAGUACAGUGGGUGGCCUUCCAUUUGAAGAUACAAAAUAGAAUAAGAAAUGGAAUGUUAUUAAACAUCUUCACUGAAGCUAAAAUGAAUCUGACCAAGGAUUCUGCCAUACUUAAGAGUCUGUUAUCUGUUUGCCCACAUCGAAGAAGUGUAGAAGAUUUCAGACAAAUUCAAGAACAUUUAAAGAAGAACAUCUCAUUUCAGCAUUUGCCAAAUGAAGUCCAACUCCAACGUUGCCAAAUUGUAAUCUAUCAUGAAGCACUUACCAUCCAUCUUCCGUGCUAUGCAUAUGUGUGCUACUGAAUGCAACACCGGGAUCUUUUAUACCCUUUGGAUUUUUCAGUACGAAGCUAAAAGUGUAAUUAUAAAGAAAGGACGCUGGCCAAUGGAAUGCUACUUUGUGCUUUCUGGAAAAUUAGCAGCUGUAUCAAGUUUAACAGCUGAAAAUUCCAACUCAGAAAUUAUAAGUGAAUUUGAAGAAGGAGACUUUGUAGGGGAAACUUGUCUGUUAACUAACACCCGCCGACCUACUACAAUUGUAUGCAAAUCAGAUGCAGAACUUCUGGUGAUAAGUAAGAAGGACUUCGACUACAUUCUCUCAGAUAUAGUACAAGAACAAUUUCAAGGAAUGUGCAGCUUCAUAAGGGAUCUGCCAAUGUUCUCUCCCUGGUCAAAAGAGAAGAUUGAUUAUCUUGUUCACUGUUCCUCACUCAGACGCUAUAGGGCUGGGUUUCUUGUCUGUGAAAAUUUAUACUCCAACUACCUCAUCAUAAUCAGAUCGGGUCGGUGCCUGGUAAUGGCCCAGAUAGGAGAGAAUAUAUCUUCACGAAGCAGUUCGGACACACUGAAGUCAGCAUCUACAAGUUUUUUCAAGAAACAUCUUUUGGCUCCUCGGAUAACAUCAGUUACCUCAUUGUCAGCACAAUCCUGGGUAACUUCAUCAGCAUAUUAUGGUAUUGAGUUAAAUUAUUUGGAACAAGGAAAAAUUUUUGGCUUGGUAGAAAAAAUGAAGAAACCAAGUGAUGUACAUUUCAGGCUGGUUAGUGAAGGAGCUGAGUGUAUUUUUAUUCCCACAAAAAUCUUUCUAAUGGAAGCACCCAUUAUAUCCCAGCAAAUGGCUAUAGGGCUGGUGAACAUUUAUCCCACAAAGGGCACAAUUAAGGAGCACCUCAUCAAAAAGCAAGCUUGGAAUAACUACAAAGCCAGGGUUGUCACUCAGCAACUAAAGAGAAAGGCCAGGAUAACCUCAUCCUAAAUUUCUUUUUAAAGAAUAUUAGCAGUGAUGCCGAGAAGACUUUAGAUUUAAUUAGAGGAGGGAGAAAAUGCUAGUGACUCUUGAAGAGACAGGACAUACUCCUAAAUGGUUGCAGGCGUAGAAGCAAUUUACACCUGUUUAGUGUAUCAGGGAAGGUAAUGAUGCCAUUUCUUUGCUGACUUGAAACUAUCACAAAGGUCUUCUCUGCCCGUUGAGAAAAGGAAAUUCAUGCACAUUCGUGAAAAUGCAAUCAAUUUGAAUGACAGUAAGACUGAGUUCAAAUUCUUCAUGUAAAUAUAUGCAUAUGCUGGGUUCACAUAUUAAACAAUAUAUUGCUACUGUCUGUUUAAUAUUGAUGUUGUACUUUGUGUCACAUGCUUCAAAACACUGUGACAGCCUCAAGCAAUAAAGAAGGGAAAAAAACUGAGAGAACCGUAUGC
ensembl:lncRNA